rnacentral:rRNA from 1 species
GACGAACGCUGGCGGCGUGCCUAAUACAUGCAAGUCGAACGCAGUGGGGACGGGUGAGUAACACGUGGGUAACCUCCCAUCAGAGGGGAUAACACUUGGAAACAGGUGCUAAACCGAUACUGUUGGAUGUACCCGCGGUGCAUUAGCUAGUUGGUGGGGUAAAGGCGCACCAAGGCCACGAUGCAUAGCCGAUCUGAGAGGGGGAUGGGCCAAACUGGGACUGAGACACGGACCAGACUCCUACGGGAGGCAGCAGUGGGGAAUCUUCGGCAAUGGGAGAAAGUCUGACCGAGCAACGCCGCGUGAGUGAAGAAGGUUUUCGGGUCGUAAAACUCUGUUGUUAGAGAAGCGGGAGCGAAAGAGAAAGCAACGGCUAACUACGUGCCAGCAGCCGCGGUAAUAG